rnacentral:rRNA from 1 species
GACGACCGCUGGCGGCGUGCUUAAAACAUGCAAGUCGAGCGGAGCGGCGCACGGGUGAGUAACGCGUGAGUAACUGCCCCCCUCUCUGGGAUAACAGUUGGAAACGGCUGCUAAUACCGGAUAGUGGGGGAUGACUCGCGUCCUCUCAGCUUGUUGGUGGGGUAGUGGCCUACCACAGCGACGACGGGUAGCCGGCCUGGGAGGGCGACCGGCCACAUUAGGCUGAGAUACGGCCCGAACUACUACGGGGGGCAGCAGUGGGGAAUAUUGCACAAGGGGGGAAACCCUGAUGCAGCAACGCGCGGGCGGGAUGACGGCCUUCGGGUUGUAAACCGCUUUCAGCCAUGACGCGGUAGUGGCAGAAGAAGCACCGGCUAAAUACGUGCCAGCAGCCGCGGUAAGUC